UUCUUUUUUCUUUUCCUUUCUUCUCCACAGAUCUCAUCUCCUUUUCCUUUCUUCUCCACAGAUCUCCUCCCACCAGAGCCUUCUCCACACCCCGCCCACCUCCCACCUCGCCCGCUCGCCCCCUCGCCAUUUCAUUUCUUUUUCCUUUUUCUUUCUUCUCCUGUGCAAAACCCACCGAAUCCCUCUCCCGUCUCGCUCGUGCGCCGGCUCGCUCGCGCCCCAACUCACUCGGCCGCCUGCUCGCUUGCUCAAAACUUGAUUCUUUCUCAGAUAAAUCGACAAAUGAAUAGAAGGCAGCAUAUAGGUUAUACACAAUCACCCAUAGUGUUGUGCUACUGUGGCAACAAAGCAGUGGUUAAAAUCUCCCGUACAUCUGUUAAUCCUGGAAGACCAUUCUACAGCUGCGCUAAAUAUAACAGAAAAUCAACCGGAGAUCAUUGCCAAUUCUUCACGUGGUGUGAUUCAGACUAUAAUGUUUCAGAAAUGGGUUCUUCUAAUAUGACAUCAUGUGAAAGUACAUCUAGAGGGAUACAAACAGAUGAUUUUUCAGACAAGAUAAAUUUUUCUGCACUACAAGAUGAGUUGAAGGAGUUAAAAGUGGAGAUGAAUAGUGUGUUUUUUAGAAUAAGAAUGUAUUUAGUUGUAUUAUUUGUAUUAGUAGCAGUUAUAUAUGUGAAGAUUUUAAUAUAAUUGGAGAGUAUUUGUAUAUGUAUAUGACAUAUAUUAUAUGCAUAAUUUUGUAAGCACUA